rnacentral:rRNA from 1 species
UGGUAGCUUGCUACCAGGCGUCGAGCGGCGGACGGGUGAGUAAUACUUAGGAAUCUACCUAGUAGUGGGGGAUAGCACGGGGAAACUCGUAUUAAUACCGCAUACGACCUACGGGAGAAAGGGGGCAGUUUACUGCUCUCGCUAUUAGAUGAGCCUAAGUCGGAUUAGCUAGAUGGUGGGGUAAAGGCCUACCAUGGCGACUAUCUGUAGCUGGUCUGAGAGGAUGAUCAGCCACACCGGGACUGAGACACGGCCCGGACUCCUACGGGAGGCAGCAGUGGGGAAUAUUGGACAAUGGGGGAAACCCUGAUCCAGCCAUGCCGCGUGUGUGAAGAAGGCCUUUUGGUUGUAAAGCACUUUAAGCAGUGAAGAAGACUCUUCGGUUAAUACCCGGAGACGAUGACAUUAGCUGCAGAAUAAGCACCGGCUAACUCUGUGCCAGCAGCCGCGGUAAUACAGAGGGUGCAAGCGUUAAUCG